UACGUAGGUGGCAAGCGUUGUCCGGAUUUACUGGGCGUAAAGAGCGCGCAGGCGGUCGAAUAAGUCGAAUGUGAAAGCCCCCGGCUCAACUGGGGAGGGUCAUUCGAUACUGAUCGACUUGAAGGCAGGAGAGGGUAGUGGAAUUCCCGGUGUAGUGGUGAAAUGCGUAGAUAUCGGGAGGAACACCAGUGGCGAAGGCGACUACCUGGCCUGUUCUUGACGCUGAGGCGCGAAAGCUGGGGGAGCAAACGGG
rnacentral:rRNA from 1 species